GGCACUGUCAUAGCUCACUGUGGCCUUGAAGUUCUGGGCUGAAGCAAUCCUUCUGCCUCAGCUUCCUGAGUGGCUGGGACUACAGGCAUGAACCACUACAUUCGGCUAAUUUUAAUUUUUUUUUGUAGAGACAGGGUCUUGUUCUAUUGUCCAAGCUGGUCUUGAAUUCCUGACCUCAAGCAAUCCUCCUGCCUCUGCCUCCCAAAGCACUGGGAUUAUUACAGGAUGUAUUUUGUUUUGCUUGUUAAACAAGUAACUCUACAAAUCGGAAAACGUGCCUUGUCAGUAUACCCCAGGUAUG
rnacentral:lncRNA from 1 species